UACGGGGGGGGCAAGCGUUGUUCGGAAUUACUGGGCGUAAAGGGCUCGUAGGUGGCCAACUAAGUCAGACGUGAAAUCCCCGGGCUUAACCUGGGAAUGGCAUUUGGGACUGCAAGGCUUGAGUGCGGCAGAGGAGACUGGAAUUCCCGGUGUAGCAGUGAAAUGCGUAGAUAUCGGGAGGAAUACCGAUGGCGAAGGCAGGUCCCUGGGCUGACACUGACGCUCAUGCACGAAAGCGUGGGGAGCAAACAGG
rnacentral:rRNA from 1 species